rnacentral:rRNA from 1 species
GACGAACGCUGGCGGCGUGCUUAACACAUGCAAGUCGAACGGAAAGGCCCUGCUUUUGUGUGGUGCUCGCGUGGCGAACGGGUGAGUAACACGUGAGUAACCUGCCCUUGACUUUGGGAUAACUUCAGGAAACUGGGGCUACUACCGGAUAGGUGCUCCUGCUGCUUGGUGGGGGUUGGAACGUUUCGGCGGAUGGGGAUGGACUGGCGGCUUAUCAGCUUGUUGGUGGGGUAGUGGCUUACCCAGGCUUUGACGGGUAGCCGGCCUGAGAGGGUGACCGGCCACAUUGGGACUGAGAUACGGCCCAGACUGCUACGGGAGGCAGAAGUGGGGAAUAUUGCACAAUGGGCGGAAGCCUGAUGCAGCAACGCCGCGUGCGGGAUGACGGCCUUCGGGUUGUAAACCGCUUUCGCCUAUGACGAAGCGUGAGUGACGGUAAUGGGUAAAGAAGCACCGGCUAACUACGUG